UACGAAGGGGGCUAGCGUUGUUCGGAAUUACUGGGCGUAAAGCGCACGUAGGCGGAUUGGCAAGUCAGGGGUGAAAUCCCGGAGCUCAACUUCGGAACUGCCUUUGAUACUGCCUGUCUAGAGUCCGGAAGAGGUGGGUGGAAUUCCUAGUGUAGAGGUGAAAUUCGCAGAUAUUGGGAAGAACACCGGUGGCGAAUGCGGCCCACUGGUCAGGUACUGACGCUUAGGUGCGAAAGCGUGGGGAGCAAACAGG
rnacentral:rRNA from 1 species